rnacentral:rRNA from 1 species
UACGUAGGGCGCAAGCGUUGUCCGGAAUUAUUGGGCGUAAAGAGCUCGUAGGCGGCUUGUCACGUCGGGUGUGAAAGCCCGGGGCUUAACCCCGGGUCUGCAUUCGAUACGGGCUAGCUAGAGUGUGGUAGGGGAGAUCGGAAUUCCUGGUGUAGCGGUGAAAUGCGCAGAUAUCAGGAGGAACACCGGUGGCGAAGGCGGAUCUCUGGGCCAUUACUGACGCUGAGGCGCGAAAGCCAGGGGAGCAAACGGG